UACGAAGGGGGCUAGCGUUGCUCGGAAUCACUGGGCGUAAAGGGUGCGUAGGCGGGUCUUUAAGUCAGAGGUGAAAUCCUGGAGCUCAACUCCAGAACUGCCUUUGAUACUGAGGAUCUUGAGUACGGGAGAGGUGAGUGGAACUGCGAGUGUAGAGGUGAAAUUCGUAGAUAUUCGCAAGAACACCAGUGGCGAAGGCGGCUCACUGGCCCGUUACUGACGCUGAGGCACGAAAGCGUGGGGAGCGAACCGG
rnacentral:rRNA from 1 species